rnacentral:rRNA from 1 species
UCCUACGGGGGGCAGCAGUCGGGAAUAUUGCGCAAUGGAGGAAACUCUGACGCAGUGACGCCGCGUAUAGGAAGAAGGUUUUCGGAUUGUAAAGCUCUGUUGGUAGUGAAGAAAGAUAGAGGUAGUAACUGGCCUUUAUUUGACGGUAAUUACUUAGAAAGUCACGGCUAACUACGUGCCAGCAGCCGCGGUAAUACGUAGGUGGCAAGCGUUGUCCGGAUUUAUUGGGCGUAAAGCGAGUGCAGGCGGAUUAAUAAGGCUGAUGUGAAAGCCUUCGGCUCAACCGGAGAAAUGCAUCAGAAACU